rnacentral:rRNA from 1 species
UCAAGUGAAUAAGUGCAUCAGGUGGAUGCCUUGGCGAUGAUAGGCGACGAAGGACGUGUAAGCCUGCGAAAAGCGUGGGGGAGCUGGCAAUAAAGCUAUGAUCCCGCGAUGUCCGAAUGGGGAAACCCACCUCUUAGGAGGUAUCCUUAUCUGAAUACAUAGGAUAAGCGAAGCGAACCCGGAGAACUGAACCAUCUAAGUACCCGGAGGAAAAGAAAUCAACCGAGAUUCCGCAAGUAGUGGCGAGCGAACGCGGAGGAGCCUGUACGUGAUAACUGUCGAGAUAGAAGAACAAGCUGGGAAGCUUGACCAUAGUGGGUGAUAGUCCCGUAUUCGAAAUCUCAAUAGUGGUACUAAGCGUACGAAAAGUAGGGCGGGACACGUGAAAUCCUGUCUGAAUAUGGGGGGACCAUCCUCCAAGGCUAAAUACUCAUCAUCGACCGAUAGUGAACCAGUACCGUGAGGGAAAGGCGAAAAGAACCCCGGGAGGGGAGUGAAAUAGAACCUGAAACCUGAUGCAUACAAACAGUGGGAGCACCCUUGUGGUGUGACUGCGUACCUUUUGUAUAAUGGGUCAACGACUUACAUUCAGUAGCGAGCUUAACCGAAUAGGGGAGGCGUAGGGAAACCGAGUCUUAAUAGGGCGAACAGUUGCUGGGUGUAGACCCGAAACCGAGUGAUCUAUCCAUGGCCAGGUUGAAGGUGCCGUAACAGGUACUGGAGGACCGAACCCACGCAUGUUGCAAAAUGCGGGGAUGAGCUGUGGAUAGGGGUGAAAGGCUAAACAAACUCGGAGAUAGCUGGUUCUCCCCGAAAACUAUUUAGGUAGUGCCUCGAGCAAGACACUGAUGGGGGUAAAGCACUGUUAUGGCUAGGGGGUUAUUGCAACUUACCAACCCAUGGCAAACUAAGAAUACCAUCAAGUGGUUCCUCGGGAGACAGACAGCGGGUGCUAACGUCCGUUGUCAAGAGGGAAACAACCCAGACCGCCAGCUAAGGUCCCAAAUGAUAGAUUAAGUGGUAAACGAAGUGGGAAGGCCCAGACAGCCAGGAUGUUGGCUUAGAAGCAGCCAUCAUUUAAAGAAAGCGUAAUAGCUCACUGGUCGAGUCGUCCUGCGCGGAAGAUGUAACGGGGCUCAAAUCUAUAACCGAAGCUGCGGAUGCCAGUUUACUGGCAUGGUAGGGGAGCGUUCUGUAGGCCGAUGAAGGUGCAUUGUAAAGUGUGCUGGAGGUAUCAGAAGUGCGAAUGUUGACAUGAGUAGCGAUAAAGCGGGUGAAAAGCCCGCUCGCCGAAAGCCCAAGGUUUCCUACGCAACGUUCAUCGGCGUAGGGUGAGUCGGCCCCUAAGGCGAGGCAGAAAUGCGUAGUCGAUGGGAAACAGGUUAAUAUUCCUGUACUUGAUUCAAAUGCGAUGUGGGGACGGAGAAGGUUAGGUUAGCAAGCUGUUGGAAUAGCUUGUUUAAGCCGGUAGGUGGAAGACUUAGGCAAAUCCGGGUCUUCUUAACACCGAGAAGUGAUGACGAGUGUCUACGGACAUGAAGUAACCGAUACCACGCUUCCAGGAAAAGCCACUAAGCUUCAGUUUGAAUCGAACCGUACCGCAAACCGACACAGGUGGGCAGGAUGAGAAUUCUAAGGCGCUUGAGAGAACUCAGGAGAAGGAACUCGGCAAAUUGAUACCGUAACUUCGGGAGAAGGUAUGCCCUCUAAGGUUAAGGACUUGCUCCGUAAGCCCUGGAGGGUCGCAGAGAAUAGGUGGCUGCGACUGUUUAUUAAAAACACAGCACUCUGCAAACACGAAAGUGGACGUAUAGGGUGUGACGCCUGCCCGGUGCUGGAAGGUUAAUUGAAGAUGUGCAAGCAUCGGAUCGAAGCCCCAGUAAACGGCGGCCGUAACUAUAACGGUCCUAAGGUAGCGAAAUUCCUUGUCGGGUAAGUUCCGACC